rnacentral:misc_RNA from 1 species
GAUGAAGAACGUAGCGAAAUGCGAUAAGUAAUGUGAAUUGCAGAAUUCAGUGAAUCAUCGAAUCUUUGAACGCACCUUGCGCUCCUUGGUAUUCCGAGGAGCAUGCCUGUUUGAGUGUCAUUAAAUUCUCAACCUCACCAACUUUGCUGUGUGCAGGCUUGGAUGUGGGGGUUGCAGGUCCACUCUCGUGGUCUGCUCCUCUGAAAUGUAUUAGUGGGUUGUGCCCCUAAUCUAUUGGUGUGAUAAUUAUCUACGCCGUGGAUUGGGUUGGUUACUUGAAGACCUGCUUCUAACCGUCCCUUGGACAACUUUUGACAAUUUUGACCUCAAAUCAGGCAAGACUACCCGCUGAACUUAAGCAUAUCAAUAAGCGGAGGA